CAGAGGUGGCGAGCGUUUAAUCGGAAUUACUGGGCGUAAAGGGCUCGUAGGCGGCCAACUAAGUCGGAUGUGAAAUCCCCCAGGCUCAACCUGGGAACUGCAUCCGAUACUGGAUGGCUUGAAUUCGGGAGAGGGAUGCAGAAUUCCAGGUGUAGCGGUGAAAUGCGUAGAUAUCUGGAGGAAUACCGGUGGCGAAGGCGGCAUCCUGGACCGACAUUGACGCUGAGGAGCGAAAGCCAGGGGAGCAAACGGG
rnacentral:rRNA from 1 species